AGCAGCCGCGGUAAUUCCAGCUCCAAUAGCGUAUAUUAAAGUUGUUGCAGUUAAAAAGCUCGUAGUUGAAUUUCGGGAUUGGCGCAUCGGUCGUGCCUCACGGGGUAUGAACUGGUGCAGUCAAUUUCUCACCUUCUGGAGAACCGCGAUGUCCUUAAUUGGAUGCCGCGGGGAACCAGGACCUUUACUUUGAAAAAAUUAGAGUGUUUAAAGCAGGCAUUUUUGCUUGAAUACAUUAGCAUGGAAUAAUAAAAUAGGACGGCAUGGUUCUAUUUUGUUGGUUUCUAGGACCACCGUAAUGAUUAAUAGGGAUAGUUGGGGGCAUUAGUAUUCAAUUGUCAGAGGUGAAAUUCUUGGAUUUAUUGAAGACUAACUACUGCGAAAGCAUUUGCCAAGGAUGUUUUCAUUAAUCAAGAACGAAAGUUAGGGGAUCGAAGACGAUCAGAUACCGUCGUAGUCUUAACCAUAAACUAUGCCGACUAGGAAUCAGACGAUGUUAAUUUUUUAAUGACUCGUUUGGCCCCUUACG
rnacentral:rRNA from 1 species